GAUGAACGCUGGCGGCGUGCCUAAUACAUGCAAGUCGAGCGAACGGACGGGAAGCGUGCUUUUCUGAUGUUAGCGGCGGACGGGUGAGUAACACGUGGAUAACCUACCUAUCAGCCUGGGAUCACUUCGGGAAACCGGAGCUAAUACCGGAUAAUAUUUUGAACCGCAUGGUUCAAAAGUGAAAGACGGUCUUGCUGUCACUUAUAGAUGGAUCCGCGCUGCAUUAGCUAGUUGGGAAGGUAACGGCUUACCAAGGCAACGAUGCAUAGCCGACCUGAGAGGGUGAGCGGCCACACUGGAACUGAGACACGGUCCAGACUCCUACGGGAGGCAGCAGUAGGGAAUCUUCCGCAAUGGGCGAAAGCCUGACGGAGCAACGCCGCGUGAGUGAUGAAGGUCUUCGGAUCGUAAAACUCUGUUAUUAGGGAAGAACAUAUGUGUAAGUAACUGUGCACAUCUUGACGGUACCUAAUCAGAAAGCCACGGCUAACUACGUG
rnacentral:rRNA from 1 species